GACGAACGCUGGCGGCGUGCCUAAUACAUGCAAGUCGAGCGAGCUUGCCUAGAUGAAUUUGGUGCUUGCACCAGAUGAAACUAGAUACAAGCGAGCGGCGGACGGGUGAGUAACACGUGGUAACCUGCCCAAGAGACUGGGAUAACACCUGGAAACAGAUGCUAAUACCGGAUAACAACACUAGACGCAUGUCUAGAGUUUAAAAGAUGGUUCUGCUAUCACUCUUGGAUGGACCUGCGGUGCAUUAGCUAGUUGGUAAGGCAACGGCUUACCAAGGCAAUGAUGCAUAGCCGAGUUGAGAGACUGAUCGGCCACAUUGGGACUGAGACACGGCCCAAACUCCUACGGGAGGCAGCAGUAGGGAAUCUUCCACAAUGGACGCAAGUCUGAUGGAGCAACGCCGCGUGAGUGAAGAAGGGUUUCGGCUCGUAAAGCUCUGUUGGUAGUGAAGAAAGAUAGAGGUAGUAACUGGCCUUUAUUUGACGGUAAUUACUUAGAAAGUCACGGCUAACUACGUG
rnacentral:rRNA from 1 species